rnacentral:rRNA from 1 species
AACGAACGCUGGCGGCAUGCCUAACACAUGCAAGUCGAACGAAGGCUUCGGCCUUAGUGGCGCACGGGUGCGUAACGCGUGGGAAUCUGCCCUUUGGUUCGGAAUAGCAGCUGGAAACGGCUGCUAAUACCGGAUGAUGACGAAAGUCCAAAGAUUUAUCGCCAGAGGAUGAGCCCGCGUUGGAUUAGGUAGUUGGUGGGGUAAAGGCCUACCAAGCCGACGAUCCAUAGCCGGUCUGAGAGGAUGAUCAGCCACACUGGGACUGAGACACGGCCCAGACUCCUACGGGAGGCAGCAGUGGGGAAUAUUGGACAAUGGGCGCAAGCCUGAUCCAGCAAUGCCGCGUGAGUGAUGAAGGCCCUAGGGUUGUAAAGCUCUUUUACCCGGGAAGAUAAUGACUGUACCGGGAGAAUAAGCCCCGGCUAACUCCGUG